UACAGAGGGGGCAAGCGUUGUUCGGAAUUACUGGGCGUAAAGGGCGCGUAGGCGGCCUUCUAAGUCAGGCGUGAAAUCCCUCGGCUCAACCGGGGAACUGCGUCUGAUACUGGGAGGCUUGAAUCCGGGAGAGGAAUGCGGAAUUCCAGGUGUAGCGGUGAAAUGCGUAGAUAUCUGGAGGAACACCGGUGGCGAAGGCGGCAUUCUGGACCGGCAUUGACGCUGAGGCGCGAAAGCCAGGGGAGCAAACAGG
rnacentral:rRNA from 1 species